rnacentral:rRNA from 1 species
AACGAACGCUGGCGGCAUGCCUAACACAUGCAAGUCGAACGAGAUCUUCGGGUCUAGUGGCGCACGGGUGCGUAACGCGUGGGAAUCUGCCCUUUGGUUCGGAAUAACAGUUGGAAACGACUGCUAAUACCGGAUGAUGACGAAAGUCCAAAGAUUUAUCGCCAGAGGAUGAGCCCGCGUAGGAUUAGCUAGUUGGUGUGGUAAGGCGCACCAAGGCGACGAUCCUUAGCUGGUCUGAGAGGAUGAUCAGCCACACUGGGACUGAGACACGGCCCAGACUCCUACGGGAGGCAGCAGUAGGGAAUAUUGGACAAUGGGCGAAAGCCUGAUCCAGCAAUGCCGCGUGAGUGAUGAAGGCCUUAGGGUUGUAAAGCUCUUUUACCCGGGAUGAUAAUGACAGUACCGGGAGAAUAAGCUCCGGCUAACUCCGUGCCAGCAGCCGCAGUAACAC